rnacentral:misc_RNA from 1 species
GGAAAAUGAAAAUGAUUUUCCACCUCCUUGUCCACCCAUACCACCUGGCCCGAAGUUAAACCCACUUUGACCUGGUCCACCACUUGUGAAGUAUGUAUAUCCACCGUGAUCUCCAGAGCUGCCAACAUCAAAUCCAGGAGCUCCCUUCUCAUCUCCAUAUAGGUCAUAGUUUUUCCUCUUCUCCUCGUCGGACAGAAUUUCAUAAGCGUUAUUAAUCUCAGCAAAUUUCUCUUGUGCACCCUUACUUUUGUUCUUGUCCGGAUGAUAUUGGAGUGAGAGCUUGUGAAAAGCUUUCUG